rnacentral:lncRNA from 1 species
UGUUGCUGUGCCUGUACAUUCUCUUGCUGAAUCGCCUCUUGUUCAAGCUCAUCAUCACUCUCAUCUUGAGUGUCUGCAUGAUGCUCCUCUUGGACACGACUAGAACCAGGUUGAUCUUUAGGUUCUAUGUCAACAACUUGAGACUUUGUAGUCUCAACAUCAUCACUACCGGGCACUGUAGCUUUCAACGAGGCUAUCAUGGAGUUCUCAUCAAAAGUAAUAUCUCUACUGAUUAUGAACUUAGAAUCCUCUACACACCAUAGGCGAUAGCCUUUUA